rnacentral:rRNA from 1 species
UACGGAGGGUGCAAGCGUUAAUCGGAAUUACUGGGCGUAAAGCGUGCGUAGGUGGUUUGUUAAGUCCGUUGUGAAAGCCCCGAGCUCAACUUGGGAAUUGCAGUGGAUACUGGCAAGCUGGAGUGCGGUAGAGGAAGGUGGAAUUCCCGGUGUAGCGGUGAAAUGCGCAGAUAUCGGGAGGAACACCCGUAGCGAAGGCGGCACUCUGGGCCGGAACUGACGCUGAGGUGCGAAAGCGUGGGGAGCAAACAGG